rnacentral:rRNA from 1 species
GACGAACGCUGGCGGCGUGCCUAAUACAUGCAAGUCGAACGCUGAAGAGAGGCGCUUGCUCUUCUUGGAUGAGUUGCGCACGGGUGAGUAACGCGUAGGUAACCUGCCUUGUAGCGGGGGAUCUUUAUUGGACACGUUAGAUAAUACAGCAUAACAAUGGACUACACAUGUCAUUUCUUUGAAAGUGGCAAUUGCUUCACUACAAGCUGGAUCUGCGUUGUAUUAGUUAGUAGGUGAGGUAACGGCGCACCUAGGGGUGGAUACAUAGCCGACCUGAUAUGGUGGUCGGCCACACUGGGACUGAGACACGGCCCAGACUCCUACGGGAGGCAGCAAGAGGGAAUCUUCGGCAAUGGGGGCAACCCUGACCGAGCAACGCCGCGGGAGUGAAGAAGGUUGUCGGGUCGGAAAGCUCUGUUGUAGGUCAAGAACGAGUGUGAGAGUGGAAAGUUCACACUGUGACGGUAGCUGACCAGAAAGCGACGGCUAACUACGUG